UUACUUUUUUCUACUCGAGACACGCUUUCAUGUUGUUGAUCUUGUCGAUUAGUAAACAAAGUUUUCUAUUGGUGUAUGAGGCACAAUAACAUUACUCCUGCAAACUCGUCUGGAAACAAAAAAGAGAAGCUGCUGUAAAAUUAAGAAUGGAAGCUCCUGAAAAUAUAGAUAAAGCAGCAUGGACUAAAGAAAUGUUGCAUGUCUUUUGUGACCUUUGCAUUAAGGCUAUCAACAUAGGAAUGAGACUAAAUACUCAUUUCGACAAAACUGGUUGGAAAUAUUUGUUGGCAUCAUUUAAAGAACACAUUGGGCAUGCAUUCACCAAGGCACAACUGUAGAACAAAUAGGAUGACUGCAAAAAGGAUUGGAGGAUAUGGAAGAAGCUCAUUUCUAAAACUGGUGUGGGCUAGAGUACUGAAUUAGGAACUAUUUUUGCUAGUGAU